rnacentral:sRNA from 1 species
GUAGAACAUCGCGCCACCAUACGA